rnacentral:rRNA from 1 species
AGAGUUUGAUCAUGGCUCAGGACGAACGCUGGCGGCGCGCCUAACACAUGCAAGUCGAACGGAGUCAAGAGAAGCUUGCUUUUCUUGACUUAGUGGCGAACGGGUGAGUAACGCGCGAGUAACCUGCCCUGGAGUGGGGGACAACAGUUGGAAACGACUGCUAAUACCGCAUAAGCCCACGGCCCGGCAUCGGGCUGAGGGAAAAGGAUUUAUUCGCUUCAGGAUGGACUCGCGUCCAAUUAGCUAGUUGGUGAGG